rnacentral:rRNA from 1 species
GAUGAACGCUGGCGGCGUGCCUAAUACAUGCAAGUCGAGCGAACGGACGAGAAGCUUGCUUUUCUGAUGUUAGCGGCGGACGGGUGAGUAACACGUGGAUAACCUACCUAUAAGACUGGGAUAACUUCGGGAAACCGGAGCUAAUACCGGAUAAUAUUUUGAACCGCAUGGUUCAAAAGUGAAAGACGGUCUUGCUGUCACUUAUAGAUGGAUCCGCGCUGCAUUGGCUAGUUGGUAAGGUAACGGCUUACCAAGGCAACGAUGCAUAGCCGACCUGAGAGGGUGAUCGGCCACACUGGAACUGAGACACGGUCCAGACUCCUACGGGAGGCAGCAGUAGGGAAUCUUCCGCAAUGGGCGAAAGCCUGACGGAGCAACGCCGCGUGAGUGAUGAAGGUCCUCGGAUCGUAAAACUCUGUUAUUAGGGAAGAACAUAUGUGUAAGUAACUGUGCACAUCUUGACGGUACCUAAUCAGAAAGCCACGGCUAACUACGUG